CACAGUUUCACUUCACGGGUAAAAACUAUGGAUUGUUGUUGGUAAACAAAGCCAGGGACAGGGUUUAUUUUUUUUAUUUUUUUUCUUCUAUAAACUGAUCAAUCAAUCAAUCAUAUAUUUAUUUCCCAUGUGUACAAUAAUAAGUAACAAAACUAUGUGUAGUUUGAAGGUGUUGGGCUAGAGACCUACUGGAAACCUUCACAUGCAGGCUUUUUAAUGUAGGCCACUAGUUAGGUUUGUAAAAAAAAUAUUGCAUAUAUAUUUACAGUGAAGAGUAAUUAUUGAAGUAAGUUUAAAGUAUAUACUAUUUACAAAAGAAAGAUAUUAUAUCAUAAUAUACAGUUACAAGAUUACACAAUUUUCACUAUAGAAUUAACGGUUGCUGUAUAUCUGUGGUCAUUGCAUAUAAGUUGAAGAUGAUCUAGCUUACUAUAAC